UACGUAGGUGGCAAGCGUUGUCCGGAUUUACUGGGCGUAAAGAGCGCGCAGGCGGUCGUUCAAGUCGCGUGUGAAAGCCCCCGGCUCAACUGGGGAGGGUCACGCGAUACUGAUCGACUCGAAGGCAGGAGAGGGAAGUGGAAUUCCCGGUGUAGUGGUGAAAUGCGUAGAUAUCAGGAGGAACACCGGUGGCGAAGGCGGUUCUCUGGGCAUUACCUGACGCUGAGGAGCGAAAGUGUGGGGAGCGAACAGG
rnacentral:rRNA from 1 species